GGUGGCAUGGUGUAAUGGUCAGCAUGUAUCGUUGUGGUUAUUCGCCUUGUACAGCUUCUCUUGAGCCGUAUGUUUUAUGGUGUUUCCCAGCUCCGAUCCGAUCCCGGUUCGAUUCCGGGUGCCGCCA